UGACAGAUGCUUGGAUGGAGGAAA
rnacentral:piRNA from 1 species